rnacentral:misc_RNA from 1 species
AACAUCGCGCACCUGCGGGAACCUGCGGAGGGAUCAUUAUCGAGUGUAACCUACCCCCUAAAAAAGGGUAGUACCUCCCGUCCUUUGCAGGCCUCUUUUUUAUAAGGGGGGCUUUUAAGACUUUCUGCUUCGGCGGGGUUAUUCCCGCCGGAACACCCUUAAAAAAUUCUCAAAAAAAAUCGUUCAGUCCGAGUACUUUUUAAAAAUAUAAAAAAAACUUUCAGCAAUGGAUCUCAGAUC